UACGUAGGGGGCGAGCGUUGUCCGGAAUUAUUGGGCGUAAAGAGCUCGUAGGCGGUCUGUCACGUCGGCUGUGAAAUCCCGAGGCUCAACCUCGGGUCUGCAGUCGAUACGGGCAAACUAGAGUAUUGCAGGGGAGACUGGAAUUCCUGGUGUAGCGGUGAAAUGCGUAGAUAUCUGGAGGAACACCGGUGGCGAAGGCGGCAUCCUGGACCGGUAUUGACGCUGAGGCGCGAAAGCUAGGGGAGCACACGGGG
rnacentral:rRNA from 1 species